UGAGGUUUUGCCACCCCAUGAUCCGGCAAGGAUCGGGUUGCGCACGGACGACAAAAGGGAGAUGGUUCGCCGCCUAGUUCAUCGCAGAUUAUCGUCGGCGGCGGUCAAGCCUUGGGAGGGUCCUCUACCAAAGGUUAGUUUGCCAAAUCUUACUGUUUUUUAUCUCGUUAGGCCAGAGUCGUGGAUCUCUGUGAUUCGUAAGAAGAAGGGGCGCCGGACGACGGCCAGAUCAUCGCCGGCGGCGCUGGCGUCUGUUUCGCCGAUCGUUCCGGGUCUCGGGAUCGCUGCGGAUCGUCAGCGCCGUUUGAAAAUCCUUGUUGGCCGUGAGGGGCUGACUGAGGCCGAAGUUGGGCUGUGUCCAGCCGGGCCGAGGUUAGCUGGGUAUGAGGCCCAGACUAACCCGGUGCCGAACCAGCUCGGGCUGGGAACUGAUCGGGACGUUGGUGUUGCGCGGAUCGGGCCGGUCUCGCCUGGGUAUGUGGCCCAGGGGGAUACGGUUUUGAUCGAGGCUCGGGGCGACGUUGCUUCGAUAGUUUGCACGUCCUCUCGUUCUGCGCCGUCGGCUAGGGUUCAGAGACGCCGGAGUCCAAACUUGCGAUCGGACGGGGCUGGACGAGCGCGUCGCAUUCCUCCGCUUGGCCUGAUGGCGGGCCGCGGAGGUGCGGUGCCGCCGGGCAAGAAGCCGGGGUCCGGCCGAGCGCAGGCUGCGCCGCCGGUGCUGGCCGUGGCGCCGUGCCAAGUUCUGCAACGUUGCCUGCGGGUAGCGGCCGAGGGGCGGGGCUGCCGGUCAACCAGGGGUCAGGCCGUGGGGUGCCUCCGCCGCAGGUGUUGCCUGCUGGCCGUGGUUCGGCGGUGGUGACGUCGGGCCGUGGUGGAGUCUCGGGUCCGAGACCGCCGGCCAAUGUUACUGCGGGGCUAAGGCCUCCGGCGCCGGCGGCGACCAGGAUGAUUCCGGCGGGCCGUGGUGGCGAGAUGCCACGGCCGACUGCGACUGGGCUUUUGAAUGCACAACACCCGAAGCCGGCCCCUCCACCUCACGUCGUUGCGAAGCCACAACAGAACAAAGUCGGGCCGGUGCAGAAGCAGCAACCGUCGUCGCCUCCGGCUUCUGCCAUGCCCAAGGGGCAGUGGGGUGAUGAUGGGUUCGAUGCGUACGGGGCUGGUAAGCACCGUGGGUCCUCGUCGACGGGCGGUGGUCAGGGCCACGCUUGGCAGAGCGAUGGCAUGGCGGAGCGUCCCUUCAUGGGGCCACCAGGAGGUUUCGUUGAGGAGCAGGUUCUGUUAGGACAAGCUAUGGAGGUGGUAUCCGCGCUUGCCUCGGCUGAGAUUCUAGGAUCGGAGCCCAGGUCAACUGGGAUAGUAGAGGUAACUGGCAUGUCUGACUCUGAGCGGGCGGCCAAGUGGGCGCGUAAGAAACAAAAUAUUUUGUGUUAUAGAUGUGGUGGAAAGGGUCACUUUAUUGCUAAGUGUGUUGCUGAGCUUUGUGGCGCUUGUGGAAAAUCAGCACACGACUCGGGGGAUUGUCCGUUUUUGAGAGAUCAGGCACCAGCACUCAUGAUGUAUGGAGUGUAUUGUGCUGAGCUUACUUUCUUUGAAUCUCCAACGGAGAUGGAGGUUCCUGACGAGACUUUGAGUUUAACGACUGGGUUAGUCAAAGUUGCCAGAGAAGAUGUCUCGGAGGCACAGAAUGUUCAGAGGCUCAAGGAGUUAGCUCCUGGGGAUUUCCGGUGGGAGCUUGUUAGCAUCAAGGACAAACUGUUUCGGGUUGAGUUUCUGUCAGUUGAGGAUCUUCAGAGACUUCUGAGCUUCGAAAUGUGCAAGGUGCCGGAUACUGAUGGUGUGCUUGAGUUUCACGAGUGGAAGAGGAUUGAGCCUACGGGCAAGCCGCUGACUCAGGUUUGGUUGCGGUACUCUGGGGCCCCUUCCAAGCCGAUGCAGGAUGCUCGGGUCGUGGCCAGUUUGGGUAUCAUGGUGGGCAGACCAGAGCGAGUGGAUAUGGACUUCACCAGAGCCCACGGCAUUGCCCGUAUACUGGUUAGUGUGCUGAACAUCGAGUAUGUGCCUGAGGUGGUAAAGUGGGCAUAUUGAGGCCACAUCUAUAACCUUGUCAUUGAGUUCGAGGAUAAGAGUCUGUUCGCUAAGGUGGCCAGCGGGAUGGAUACUGAUAUGCACGAGGGUGAUGAUGGCUCGGCUCUUAAGGAGGCACCAGCAGCUGACAGUGGACGAGAGUUGUCCACUGCGUCGGGUGCUGACUCUCAGAUGUCUGCGGAUGGUACGGCACCACCUUCUACCGUGCCUACGACUUCUCUCAGAUUCGGGUCUUUUGAUCCGGCAUCUGCGCCUCCGAGACUUUGGAGUGAUUGUGUGGAGUCUGAUGAGGUGUUUGAGCAUACGCUGCCGGUGCUGGAGUCUGAGGAGUAUGUGGUUCCUUUUUUGGGUGCGUUGCCGAUUUCGAUCAGGGAUGAGGCGGAGGAGACUGCUCUCGCUGGCGGGGGUCCGGAGAUGGUGAUUUCGGAUUCCUCCGCUGCGGUCGUGAUCUCUCAGGUUCAGCAGGCGAUGCCUUUGGAUGAAGGGGGCGUGGGGCAGGAGGCCUCCGCGCUCUAAUCGGGGCUUCCGGAGGACGGGUUCCUCACGGUGUUGCUUGACUCUUCGGGAGGGGGGCCGAGGCUGCCGGCCACGGCUCCUUCCUCCCCUUUUGCCGGGCCGGUUUCGCUGGCGCCGGCAUUGCUUUCCGGAGAGGGCUCGGGGUAGGUGGCCUCGGGGCUCUCUCCUACGGGGGCGCCUAGGGAGGCCUGCUGGCCUUCAGCGCCGGUGACGCUGGCUGGUCGUUGGGCCGGGAUGGAUGGGGAGCUCGGGCAGGAGGCCCUGGUUCCACCUUCCCCCGGUUUGGAGUUCUCCUGUGCAGCUACUCGGGAGGAGGUGAUUGCGUUCAGGGGUAUUCCGGAUCCGGUCUCUAAGGGGUGAGGGUUGAGUAACCGUCUCCAGGACCAUCCGGAAGUGGACGACAUUCAGCAGCGGUGCGCUAUGAGGGCGGCCAAGCUUCGUGACAUAGAGGUCACUACUGGUAUGUCGGUCAAUACCUCUAAUUCUAUUUUGCAUUUUUCCAAUGAUGAGAUUAUCAAUAAUGCAAACCAGCUAGGAAUUUUCACUAGGUAGUAAUGAUAGUGAAAUCUCAACCUCGGUUAAUGAUAUGCUGGAUUUAGAGGCCGAACGGGCGCUUGAGAUGAUUCGUAACUUAGCUGCGGUCAAACCCAUGAAUGAUUUAGAUAUCGACGCUUUAGGGGUCAGGGCGCUCGAUAAUCUUUGUGCGGAUCUGGCUCAACCAUCUCCUGAGCCUGAGGAGGAGGAUGAGCGAGUAGACAUUGUGGAUUUGCAUACCUCUGCGACUGGUUGUGAGGACCAGCUGGAGAGUUUCAAUGCUCAUAAACGCAAAUGGAAGCGGAAGAUUUACCCGGAUUCCGCAAUGCGGAGGAGUGCUCGGAUACGGACGGCUAAAAAAUUCCAUGAUGAGGUAUGAAAGGAAUCUUUUGGAAUAAUAGAGGUCUGAAAGACUUGGCUAAAAGAAGGUUUCUUGCUGAGGCUUCUAUUGAGCAUAAGUUGGACUUUAUUGCUUUGUCGGAAAUGGGUAGAGCCAAGUUCUCGCCACAAUUUCUAAAUACUCUUUCGGGGGGUAUUGAUUUCGAUUGGCAUUGUCUACCUCCGCGAGGAAGAUCGGGUGGGAUUUUACUCGAAGUUAGAUGUGAUUCGUUAGAAGUCCGAAGCAUGGUCAUGGAAGAUUUUGCUGUUAAGUUUAGGGUGAGGUCGAAGGCAGAUGGGUUUAACUGGGCUUUGGUAGCGGUAUAUGGUGCCGCUCAGCCCGAGCUCAAACCGGAUUUCUUGGCUGAUCUGGUUAGGAUUUGUGGUUCCGAACAACUUCCUAUCCUGGUGGGGGUGAUUUUAAUAUCAUCAGGAGGAGUGAUGAGAAGAAUAAUGACAAUUUUGACGGCCGAUGGUCGUUCAUGUUUAACACAAUCAUUGAAAGCCUAGACCUGCAUGAGAUAGAGCUUUCAGGCCGAAAGUUUACCUGGGCUAACGCCUUGCCAAAUCCGACGUUUGAGAAGCUGGAUCGAAUCCUGGCUAGCGUCGAACGGGAGCAGAAAUUCCCAUUUGUUACGGUCCAGGCGCUUACUCGUGGUAUUUCUGAUCACACGCCUUUAUUUCUUGACUCUGGGGAGGCCACCCACUUGGGAAAUAAAAAUGUUUUUUCUUUCGAGCUUGCUUGGUUUGAGAGAGAAGGUUUCUUGGAUCUCGUAGCCAGAGAAUGGGCUAAGGAUGCAGGAGGUCGGUCUGCGCUCGAGCGCUGGCAGAAUAAAAUUAGGCAUUUGAGAAGCUUCCUACGUGGGUGGGCUAAGCAUCUCAGUGGAAUUUAUAAGGUUGAAAAGGAACAGCUCCUUGCGCUUAUUCAGUCCCUUGAUGUAAAGGCUGAAACCAUGAUCCUGCCAGACUCGGAGCUUCAUGCCAAGCUUGAUGCGGAGAUGAGGCUGAAAGAGCUCCUUCGCGAGGAAGAACUAAAGUGGGCGCUUCGGACUAAGGUCAGUAGAGUCGUUCAGGGGGACGCGAACACUCAAUUUUUUCACUUGAUCGUCAAUGGUAAGCAUAGAAAGAAGAGGAUCUUUCAGCUUGAACAAGACGAGGGAACGAUUCUUGGUCAGGAAAACUUAAAGCAAUAUAUUAUUGAGUAUUACAAGCAGCUGUUUGGGCCUCCAGAGGACAACUGUGUGUCGCUGGAUGAGUCGAGGAUUGAGGAUGUGCCUCAACUUACGGCUGUUGAGAAUGAUAUUUUAGUAGCUUCUUUCUCCGAGAAAGAGGUGUUUGAGGCAAUUUCUCAGAUGAAGAACAAUAAGGCUCCUGGACCGGAUGGUUUCCCGGCAGAGUUCUACAAGAAGUGUUGGCACAUUAUUAAAGGAGAUCCCUUGCCAUUGUUCAAUGAUUUAUUCUCUGGCCAGCUUCACCUUUUUCAGCUGAAUUUUGGAACGAUAACCUUACUUCCCAAGAAGACUGAGGCAGUGCGGAUUGAGCAAAUUCGGCCUAUCUGUCUUCUCAAUGUUAGUUUCAAAAAUUUUACCAAGGUCGGGACGAAUAGGCUCACACAGAUUGCGCAUACUGUGGUGCAACCUACUCAGUCUGCUUUCAUGCCGGACAGAAACAUCCUCGAAGGGGUUGUGGUCUUGCAUGAAACGAUCCAUGAAAUUCACAUGAAAAAACUUGAUGGCGUGGUUUUCAAGGUGGAUUUCGAGAAAGCGUACGACAAAGUCAAAUGGCCUUUCCUCCAACAGGCACUACGCAUGAAGGGUUUUGAUAAAGUUUGGAGACGACAAGUCGAAUCCUUCACGCAAAAAGGGAGUGUUGGAAUUAAAGUGAAUAACGAUAUAGGUCAUUAUUUCCAGACACAUAAGGGCCUGAGACAAGGUGAUCCAGUGUCUCAUAUUUUGUUCAACAUUGUCGUUGACAUGUUGGCAAUCCUGAUAGGUAGGGCAAAGGAGACCGGCCAGGUAGGUGGCUUGGUGCCUCAUCUAGUUGAUGGUGGUGUGUCCAUCCUGCAGUAUGCUGAUGAUACGAUCAUCUUUAUGGAGCAUGACUUGGCAAAAGCGAGAAAUAUGAAGCUGGUGUUGUGCCUGUUUGAGCAAUUGACCAGUUUGAAGAUUAACUUCCAUAAAAGCGAGUUGUUCUGUUUUGGGAGAGCCAAAGAGGAACAAGAUGCAUAUAAGCAAUUGUUUGGUUGUGAAUUGGGAGCACUUCCGUUCACUUACCUAGGUAUCCCCAUUCAUCAUCGUAAACUAACAAACAGCCAAUGGAAGUGUAUCGAGGAUCGAUUUGAGAAGAAACUGAGCUGCUGGAAGGGCAAACUCAUGUCGUAUGGAGGCCGGUUGAUUCUUAUUAAUUCGGUGCUCACGAGUCUGCCUAUGUUCCUUUUGUCCUUUUUUGAGGUACCAGUUGGAGUUAGGAAAAGGAUGGACUUCUAUCGGUCUCGUUCCUUCUGGCAGAGUGAUGAACUUAAGAGAAAGUACCGUUUAGCCAAAUGGGACGUCAUCUGCCGACCGAAGGGCCAAGGGGGUCUUGGUGUUGAAAAUCUUGAGGUCGAGAACAGAUGUCUUCUCAGUAAGUGGCUAUAUAAGUUAGCUGCUGAGACUGAAGCUACUUGGGCACAGAUUCUGCGUAACAAGUACCUCCACUCUAAGACUUUGUCGCAGGUGACAGUCAGACCGACUGAUUCGCCUUUCUGGAAAGGGCUAAUGAGAGUCAAAGCUACUUUCUUUAACAGAACAAAGUUUAUUGUUGGGGAUGGCAACAAUACUCGCUUCUGAGAGGAUACUUGGCUGGGGGAAGCGCCGUUGGCGCUUCAGUAUCCUUCGCUAUAUCGUAUCGUGCAGCUCGUGAUGCUCUGGUUGCAACGAGUUUGCAGUCUACUCCCCUUAAUAUUUAGUUUAGGAGGGUGCUUGUUGGAGACCGAUGGGAAGCCUGGCUUCAUCUGGUGAGUAGACUGAUGGAGGUUCAGCUUACGCAUCAGCCUGAUCAGUUGUGUUGGAAGCUUACUAGAUCUGGGGAAUUCACAGUCAAGUCGAUGUAUAUUGAUGUCAUCAAUUCUAGUGUGAUUCCUACUUCCAGACAUGUUUGGAAAGUUAAGGUUCUUCUGAAAAUCAAAGUGUUUAUGUGGUUUGUACAUAAACAAGUCAUCUUAACGAAAGAUAAUUUGGUUAAGCGAAACUGGACAGGAUCUACUAGGUGUAGUUUCUGUGAUCGGGAUAAAAAUAUCAAGCACCUCUCCUUUGAUUGCCCGUUGGCGAAGGUCUUAUGGCGUUCGGUGCAAGUUGCCUUUAACAUUACUCCUCCGAAUUCGGUCAGGUUGUUAUUUGGAACGUGGCUUGUUGGGAUAGAGUCCGAAACAACUAGACAAUUUCGCGUAGGAGUGUGUGCGUUGUUACGGGCAAUCUGGAACUGCAGAAAUGAUUUGGCUUUUAACAAAACAACAACUAUUCAUUUUUUGCAGGUUUUAUUCCGGGCUACUGCGCUAAUCCGUAUGUGGUCCUUACUCACUCCGACGGAGGCCAUAGAGCGUUUGGUUACUGGAUCUCUCCGGUGGGAGAUGAUAGCGCGGAUAUUUUCAACCGGUUUGCAUGGCGGUCAUGUAAUAGGAUAGGCGACUAGUUUACCUAUCUAUCUUAUGCCAGCCGGUUGUGGCUUUUGGGCCUUAUUUGCUUUUGUUGCUCUUUGUGAGCCAAUUUCUCUUUUUGGAGCAGACUGCAAGACUCUGUUGAACUUAUUUAUUUAUUUAUUAAUGUGGCCGUAUGCAUCUUUUUGAUGUAGAGGCCGGGGAGUCUCCCCUUUUCAAAAAAAAGCUUCUAAAAAAAUAUGUCAAGGCAAAUUUGCAGGGUGUUUU
rnacentral:lncRNA from 1 species